rnacentral:tRNA from 1 species
GCAGUGGUGGUUCAGUGGUAGAACUCUUGCCUUCCACAUGGGAGGCCCAGGUUCAAUUUCCGGCCAAUGCA